rnacentral:rRNA from 1 species
GACGAACGCUGGCGGCGUGCCUAAUACAUGCAAGUCGAACGCUGAAGGAGGAGCUUGCUUCUCUGGAUGAGUUGCGAACGGGUGAGUAACGCGUAGGUAACCUGCCUGGUAGCGGGGGAUAACUAUUGGAAACGAUAGCUAAUACCGCAUAAUAGUAGAUGUCGCAUGACAUUUGCUUAAAAGGUGCAAUUGCAUCACUACCAGAUGGACCUGCGUUGUAUUAGCUAGUUGGUGAGGUAACGGCUCACCAAGGCAACGAUACAUAGCCGACCUGAGAGGGGGAUCGGCCCCACUGGGACUGAGACACGGCCCCGACUCCUACGGGAGGCAGCAGUAGGGAAUCUUCGGCAAUGGACGGAAGUCUGACCGAGCAACGCCGCGUGAGUGAAGAAGGUUUUCGGAUCGGAAAGCUCUGUUGUAAGAGAAGAACGAGUGUGAGAGUGGAAAGUUCACACUGUGACGGUAUCUUACCAGAAAGGGACGGCUAACUACGUG